rnacentral:rRNA from 1 species
UGUACCUACGGGGGGCAGCAGUGGGGAAUAUUGCACAAUGGGGGAAACCCUGAUGCAGCGACGCCGCGUGGGCGAGGAAGUACCUCGGUAUGUAAAGCCCUAUCAGCAGGGAAGAAACAGGACAGUACCUGACUAAGAAGCCCCGGCUAACUACGUGCCAGCAGCCGCGGUAAUACGUAAGGUCCGGGCGUUAUCCGGAUUUAUUGGGUUUAAAGGGAGCGUAGGCCGGCUUUUAAGUCAGCUGUGAAAGUCCGCGGCUCAACCGUGGAAUUGCAGUUGAAACUGGAGGCCUUGAGUGCACACAG